UACGGGGGGGGCAAGCGUUGUUCGAAAUUACUGGGCGUAAAGGGCUCGUAGGCGGCCAACUAAGUCAGACGUGAAAUCCCCAGGCUCAACCUGGGAACUGCGUCUGAUACUGGAUGGCUUGAAUUCGGGAGAGGGAUGCAGAAUUCCAGGUGUAGCGGUGAAAUGCGUAGAUAUCUGGAGGAAUACCGGUGGCGAAGGCGGCAUCCUGGACCGACAUUGACGCUGAGGAGCGAAAGCUAGGGGAGCAAACGGG
rnacentral:rRNA from 1 species